rnacentral:rRNA from 1 species
AAUAGAUACCCCGGUAGUCCACGCCGUAAACGAUGAGUGCUAAGUGUUAGAGGGGUUUCCGCCCUUUAGUGCUGCAGCUAACGCAUUAAGCACUCCGCCUGGGGAGUACGGCCGCAAGGCUGAAACUCAAAGGAAUUGACGGGGGCCCGCACAAGCGGUGGAGCAUGUGGUUUAAUUCGAAGCAACGCGAAGAACCUUACCAGGUCUUGACAUCCUCUGACAACCCUAGAGAUAGGGCUUUCCCCUUCGGGGGACAGAGUGACAGGUGGUGCAUGGUUGUCGUCAGCUCGUGUCGUGAGAUGUUGGGUUAAGUCCCGCAACGAGCGCAACCCUUGAUCUUAGUUGCCAGCAUUCAGUUGGGCACUCUAAGGGUGACUGCCGGUGACAAACCGGAGGAAGGUGGGGAUGGACGUCGAAAUCAUCAUGCCCCUUAUGACCUGGGCUACACACGUGCUACAAUGGAUGGUACAAAGGGCUGCAAACCUGCGAAGGUAAGCGAAUCCCAUAAAGCCAUUCUCAGUUCGGAUUGCAGG